AUACUUAUCUGGCAGGGGAUAUACCAUGACCAUGAAGGUGGUUCCCAGGGUGUGAGGCUCAUCCAUUGCACUCUGGUUGUGUUGACCCUUGUGAUUUCCCCAAAUGCAGAAUUUGUAGUAGUGAGGGACUAUGUUUGUGGUUUCCCCUGU
rnacentral:snRNA from 1 species